rnacentral:lncRNA from 1 species
AUUUUCAUCAGCGGCUGGUAGCUCGCUCCCGACUGCUCCUCUGUGCAGAACCGACGGCUUUCCAGCUUUCAACUCUGGAAGUGAGGCAAGACGGAAUCCUCCAUCACACUUCCUUCUGGGAGCCUUAGAUGCUACCGCGGAGAGCCCGGCUCGCUCGAGGGCAUCUAAACUGUCCUUUGACAGGGGGCAUUCGAGAACCGAAAGGUUCUGGGUCCGCGCACCUGAGCCGCGCAGCGCAGCGAGGGCGGGGGCUGGAGGAGGUCGGUGCUCGGCUGGAGGUGGGCGGGGCAGGUGCGCGGCUCCCUGCGGCCCGCGGGGUGCAGCCCAGCCUUCCCGCCCCGCCAGGAGGGCUCCGCGCUCCUUCCUCGCCCUACCGCGCUUCGCAGCUGCCGGACCCCAGGGACAGGGGAGCAAGCAACUCUCAUCAACUCCUCAGGACUAAACAAUGGCCAAGGCUGGGGCGCCCUACACAAGGCCCCAGGCUGGGCAGACUUGGUUUGCUUUCUGCAAUCGGGGCCUGGAAGUGGAGGCUUGUGGAGGGAUGGUCAGACUCACUUCGAGCCUAAAGGCUUGCAUUUUCAUUGCUCCUGGCAACUAGCGAGGCUACCUUGUCUGCGUUUCUGGGACCAAGCUCCAUGUGGGACAAGCCACAUACAACCCUCUGAGGUGCACCCUGAAGACCAGAGAGCACAGGCAUGGGUGAAGCCUGGAGCUUUGGAGUCUUUGUGAGGGCUUGUUGGGCCUACCGUCAUGGUUAGAAUCCAGGAGAACACUGCCAGAAGCAGACCAGAGAUAGGGACUGUCCACAUGGAACCCUCAGGCCCAGAAUGAGUUAUUUAAGCUCCUCCUGGUGUUUAAAGAGGUUUUUCAGUUUUAAAGAACGUUGUAAAAAAAAUAUCAGCUCUUAAAAAAAAUGAGCUCUUCCUCAUUACAUGCUUCCCCACCCCUCAGCUAGACAUGCACUGUUUCCUGAGACGGAGGAGUGUUCAAACAUGUGUCGUCUUUUAAAAAUAAUACGAAUUCAUAAAGAGGAGGAGGAAGAAGAGUAGGAGAAGAAAGAGAAAAUUUAACUGAUACCUGAAGUAUUCACCACUCCUUCAUUUAACUGUGCAGCUGUUUUUAACUGUGGGCUCCCAGGGAAGAGACUUCUCUGAGAUGCUGGUACCUUAUAGAGCGCUUUGCUUUCCGUUGGCUCCUUGUAGUCAUCCCUAAUUAGAAAUGCCUCAGAGGAGCCUUUAUCCAGCCCAUAAAGGAAGAUCAAGUGUCCGCACAGUAUAUAUUAAUAUAGGGUCCAUACUCAGUAAUUUGGAAUUGUGUUUCUUCUUUCAACUUUUUCCUUUAUGUCCUUUUUUUCCCUUCAAACACUUGUUGCCUGUGACACUGCUCUGACCUUCGCUCCUCCUUUUCAGGAUGUUAGGAUGAAUGCUUGCUUCUUCUGGCAAAAAGACAGUAGGAAAGAUAAAGUGUGGGCUUUCAUUUUGGAUCUGGAUUACCAAACCACUUACAUUUCUGUAUUCAUUUUCUUUCCAGAAAAGC